UACCAUGGGUUAGGCAGAAGCCAGCAGGCAGAGCAAGGAUCUUAAACCAACACCAGGCUAAGAGAGGUUAAAGUGCUUGCCCAGUAUCAUGGAGUAAGGGACAAUCAGAACUGGACCUCUCGUGGGCUGACUUCUCAGUCAGAGGCAGUGUGAUCUUGAGCAAGUUACGGAGCCUCUCUCUGCACUUCAGUUUCCUCCAACGGAAGUAAUAACGGCUCCAUACCAGGGAGAACUAAAUGAGAUAAAGGUAAAAGGGUCAGCAGCUUUUGGCACUUGGUAAGUGCUCAGUAAAUGUUAGUUUCCAUCAACCCCUCCUCCCAUAGUUUCCCACGCACUCCCUAGAUUUGCCCACUUUCUAUGCAAUGCCAGGGGCUCCUUUGGCACUAUCCCGGGACAGGGGGGAGGGGGUGGGUGGCUGCUCGGACUCACCGUUGUGGCUGGCGUAGCCCCACUCCUUUGCCAUGGUCGUCUUUGUGGGCACUGGACCGCAGCUGACUUCUCUCCCCGGCGUCGUGCAGAGUCCCCGCGAGCCCGCGCCUUUUAUAUAGGUCCCCCACACACUGCAUGGCCUUAUUAGGUCAGUGAGGGUGGGGCGGGGGGCUAAACUGGAUUGGGGUGGUAUUUGGGAGGCGCGGUGGGGGGAAGCCAAUGAAUUCCAAGAGCUAGACAGCUGUUGGGCUCCGAGGGGAGAUGGGCGAAGGCCCCCACCCCCUCCCUACCCUCUCCCUGAAACCGCGGCUCCUGGCUCUGCUAACUCUCCCUCCGUCUCCCAAAGCUGCAGGGCUUUCUAACUAGUGUUGCCGAGGUGCAAAAAUGCGGGCAACUUUUGUUUCCUCCUCCCUGCCUCCCUCCUGCAGGCUUUUUGUUGUUGUUGUUUCGGGAGGUGGGGUAUCCUAACUGUGCUUAGCCACCAAAUAAAAUGUGCACCCCAGCAGCGCUUGCAGCCUCACUUCGAAGUUGCUUUUAGCCCAGGCUGGUUGUCUGGCUGCGGUCUGUGGACGCUUCUGGGAGUUUGUUUCGUUCCAGCGAUCCGGUUACGGUGGCUGGAAAGAACACGUUUGUUUGCCUGACCCGUGUUUGACUCCCUUGCAGACAACUUGUAAAAUGUUAGGAGCAGAGGAUGGGAAGAAAGAGGCCGGAGGGAAGGUUCUAUAACUCCGCUAUCCUUAAAGAUAUUUACAAUGCCCUGUCUUUGGAACCGCCCCAGGCAGCAUUUCCCAACCUAGCGAGUCCCUUUGGUCUGCAGGACGGUGAGGGCUGGAUCUUGGAGAGCUCCGGGAAUCCGGGAGAGGUCUGCAUCCUAGGUUCACGCAGAGCAGGAGCCUGGGACUGAUUUACCCCUACUCCGUGAGCCGUACCUCUGCUCACGAAAAGUCGAGAAUAUUCUGGAGUGUUGGAAGGCCACAAACAUAAAGUGAGUCAUAUUGUUUAAAAUGUAGAGCCUCCUUCUCCAAGAAAGAAUGAAAGAUUAGAAGAAAAGGAAGAGGAGAGGCUUCCAGAAUUGCUUUGUGUUUUUCUCUGUCCCUCCCAAGUUGUUUUGGAAUAUGAUGACCCAGGCGAAAGGAGGGUGGAACUGGGAUCAGAACUGAGCCUGAGAGGAACAGCUGGUCAGAUUUUUUCAUCUUUGGCCUAAGUCACAAACUUCCCACAUUGAUAUUUGAUUGAGAGGGCACUGGAGAUAUACUAAGGAUGAAGAGAGAGAGACUGACUGCUCCCACUGAGUGGGUGGUACUGAUGAAAAGCAAGUAGACAAUAACCAUGUGGCUUAUCAGGAAUAAUCCACUGGAGAGACUGGAAAAGAGGCAUCCUCUGUAGGCAUCUGCCAGCAUGGCAUGCAUAUUGAAAUCCCAAUUCAGGAAUGAAAAUCUGAAACCAAGCUAUCUGCUUUUGUGUACUCUGGCACUGCAUCAUUUAAAAUAAUCCAAGAAUGAAAAUAUGAGCUAAGCUGUUUGCUUUUUUAAACAUUGAGCGUGUCAAUCCUGAAAUUCCACUGGACAAGCAUUUACUCUCCACAAAGAGAGAGACAGAGCAUGAACAGGGGAGGGGCAGAGAGAGAGGGAGACACAGAAUCCUAAACGGGCUCCAGGUUUUGAGCUGUCAGCACAGAGCCCGUUGCGGGGCUCAAACUCACAGACCGUGAGAUCAUGACCUGAGCCGAAGUCGGACGCCCAACCGACCGAGCCACCCAGGCACUCCUAAUUUCAGAACAUUUUAAUCACCCAGAUAAAAAAUUCUGUACCCAUUAACAGUCCCUCCCCAUUUCCUCUUCAACCUUCAACCCUAGACAACCAUUAAUCUAUUUUCUAUUUCUACAGAUUUGCCUAUAAUGCGCACUUUGUAUAAAUAGAUUCACUUAAUAAUUUGCUUUCUAUGAAUAUAUUUUUUUACUUAGCAUAAUCGUUUCAAUGCUUAUCCAGGUUGUAGCAUGUAUCAUUACUUCAUUUGUUUUUACUGCCAAAUAAUAUUAUAUAGAUGUACCAUACAUUAUCCAUUCAUCAGUUGACAGACAUUUGAGUUGUUUCCACUUUGGGGCUACUAUAAAUAAUGCAGCUAUGAGCAUUUGCAUACAAGUUUUUGUAUGGACAUAUGUUUUUAUUUCUCUUGGAUGUACACAUAUAUGAGUGGAAUUGAUCGAUCACAGGGUUACUCCGUUUAAUCUUUUGAGGAGUUGUUUUCGAAGGCAGUUGUACCAUUUUACAUUCUCACCAGCAUGGAAGAAGGCUCCAGUUUCUCCGCAUUUUAGCCAAUACUUGUUAUUUUUCAACUUUUUGAUUAUAGCCACUUAUUAUUAUAGUGUGAUGGUGCGUAGUGGUAUCUCAUUGUGGUUUUGAUUUGUAUUUCCAUAAUGACUACUGCUGUUGAGCAUCUCUUAAUGUGCUUAUUUGACCAUUUGUAUACCAUCUUUGAAGAAUGACUAUUCAAAGUAUUUGCCCAUUUUUCAAUUGCAAUAUUUAUGUUUUUAUUGUUGAGUUGCAAGAUGUCUUUUAUAUUCUGGAUGCUAGUUCCUUAUCACAUGUAUGAUUUGCAAAUAUAUUCUCCCAUUCUAUGGAUUGCCUUUUAACUUUUUUGAUAGAUUUUUGAAGCACAAAAAUGUUUACACCUGAUGAAUUUCUAUUUAUUUAUUUCCUUAUGUUGUUCUUGUGCUUUUGGUGUGUCAUAUGUAAGAAACCAUUGCCUAACCCAAGGUUACAAAGGCUUAUGUCUAUAUUUUCUCCUAAGAGUUUUAUAUUUUGCCCUUAAAUUUAGAUCUUUUAUCCAUUUGGAGUUAAUUUUUGUGUAUUGUGUGAGGUAGGGGUCCAACUUUUUUCUUUUGCCCAUGGAUAGCUAAUGGUACCAGCACCAUUUGUUAAAAAGGCUAUUCUUUCUGCAUUGAAUAUUCUUGGAAAAUUGUUGAAAAUCAGUUGAUUAUAGGGGGGUUAAACGUCAGACUCUUGAUUUCAACUCAGGUCAUGAUCUCUCAGUUUUUAAGUUCAAGCCCUGCAUCAGGUUCUGCGCUUACUGUGAGGAGCCUGCUAGGGAUUAUGUCUCUCUCCUUCUCUCUCUGCUCCUCCCCUGCUUGUGCCCUUUUUCUCUUUCUCAAAAUAAAUAAAUGAACUUAAAAAAAAAGAAAA